UGAGUGGAAAUAUGGCAGCAGGCAGGUCUCGUUCCAAAGUGCAGGGGAGAGGUGCUGAGGCCGGACUGGGGCGACAGUUGGUGGAGGAGGUGUGAGAAGGGGUGAGACUCAUGAGAUGUCCAAAGAAUGGUAAGAUCCAGACGGGCAGGGUGGCAGGUGUCUGAAACCCCAGAACUCUGGAGGCUGACACUGUAGAACCUGGGGGUCAAGAUCAUCCUUGGCCACACAGAGUUUGAAACCAGCCUGGGUUAUGAGAAACCCUGACUCAAAGCAACACAAGCAAAAUGUCAUAUCCAUUCCUUCUUCUUUAUUCUCCAGGAAACACACAUACACACACCACACACACACACACACACACACACACACACACACCACACACACCACACACACCACACACACACCACACACACCACACACCACACACAUACCACACACCACACACAUACACACCACACACACCACACACACACCACACACACAUACACACACACACCACACACACCACACACCACACACCACACACACACCACACACCACACACACACCACACACACACACAUAGCACACACACAUCACACACACACACCACACACACAUCACACACACACACACAUCACACACACACCACAUACACACACACACCACACACACACCACACAUACACACACACACCACACACACACACACCACACACACACACCCCACACACCACACACACACAGCACACACACAACACACACAACACAACACACACAACACACACACUACACAUACACACACAGCACACACACAACACACACACUACACAUACACACACACCACACACACACACCACACACACACAACACACACACACACCACACACACACCACACACACACAUAGCACACACACAUCACACACAUACCCCCAAACACACACACACACCACACACAUACAUACCACACACCACACACAUACACAUACACACAGCACACACACACACAGCACACACCACACACACCACACACAGAGCAAAUGGAGGAGAAAUACAACUGUGAUAUAAGGAAACCAGGCAAUUAGGAAAUUACAGAAUUACAGGCUGGGUUCUGUGGAAGCCCAGAAGAGAACCUUCAGGGAGACAGAGAAAGCGGCAGAGAGAAGUGACAUUUGAGUGGCCUCUUUGAAGGGCAAGAGGAUUCUGUCAACUGGCUGAAGAGUGUCUGGGGAAGGUUGUUCCACAUGAGGGUUUCCGGACGUCCCCUACAUGGAUGGCUGAGUGUACUUGGGAAAGUGCCUGGUCACUGAGGAGGGCGUAAUUAAAGUUGUGACAUGGGCCAGGAAAGGUGCUUAGAAUGUGACAUUGGAGAGGUCGCACUUUAUCUCACAAGCAAUGGUGAAUCCUUGAAGAAGCCGGGGAUAGGGGUAGGGUAUGGAUAAUGCUGGCAGAACUGCAUUUUUUUUUUUUUUUUUGGUUCGUUUUUUCGGAGCUGGGGACCGAACCCAGGGCCUUGAGCUUGGUAGGCAAGCACUCUACCGCUGAGCUAAAUCCCCAACCCUGCAGAACUGCAUUCUUGGUUGUUAUUUUGUUUCGGUUUUGUUUGCUUGUUUGCUCUUAAGCAGCCAUCUUGGGGUAGUUGAUUACAAAGACAGGAGGAGCGAACAGAUCGGUUAGAUCAAUUAGGUCCACAGGACUAACGGAAGUUAACCAAUGGAGCUUCCUGGUCUUCAUCUGGGCUCACGGGGAGGGGCGGGGCACAGUGCAGGAAUUCUGACUCGUCAGCUCUGCCUCAAUGUCCGUGUGGGGGAGAGUGCAGUCAGACAGACAGACCCCGGCAGUCCGUGGACCAGGCACCCUACGCACCCACCGUGUUCUCUCUGAAGCUAAGACAAACUGGCAUCAGAGAGUGAUAUAGGCACGCUCUGUUGCGUACUCCGGAUUGAGUUACUCAUCCCCAAGAAUGGCUUCCGUCCGGUGGCGCGCCGUGCUUGAACACAUCUAAAAUACACAACUCCCGGUCGACACUGGCUACAACACAUCAUGCAUGCACAUAGAAGUCAGAGAAUCAAGAACCCAGAUCCAGGAACCUGAGGUCAGCCAACCACCGCCUCGGGCAUCCAAUCCCAGGGCACCUUGUCAUCCGGCCAGAAGUCCCAAACAGGAAGACCCCCCCACGCAGGAAGUUCAGCUGAAGACGCAUUGUUUGCUUUUGCACACUCUUUGAGCCUGGGGUAUCGUUCUUCAGAGAUUCUUGGACCCUCACCAUGUCUUACACUGCAGUGCUCUCUCAGCCAAGCGUAUAUGACGCACACAACACACGUCACCGUAACGUCGAUGGAGUCUCCAUUAGGCAAAAUGCAGCCCAAGUUCAGACGACCUACUCCAAUCACAGCACCCCCCUUUACCCAACUCCUAGCACGAUGACCCUAACGGCAUCAUAGAUACUCGUCUGAUGUUUAUUUUAUUUUUUAUAUAAAUUACUUUUAUUUUACAUGAA